rnacentral:rRNA from 1 species
AACGAACGCUGGCGGCAUGCCUAACACAUGCAAGUCGAACGAGAUCUUCGGGUCUAGUGGCGCACGGGUGCGUAACGCGUGGGAAUCUGCCCUUUGGUUCGGAAUAACAGUUGGAAACGACUGCUAAUACCGGAUGAUGACGAAAGUCCAAAGAUUUAUCGCCAGAGGAUGAGCCCGCGUAGGAUUAGCUAGUUGGUGUGGUAAAGGCGAACCAAGGCGACGAUCCUUAGCUGGUCUGAGAGGAUGAUCAGCCACACUGGGACUGAGACACGGCCCAGACUCCUACGGGAGGCAGCAGUGGGGAAUAUUGGACAAUGGGCGAAAGCCUGACCCAGCAAUGCCGCGUGAGUGAUGAAGGCCUUAGGGUUGUAAAGCUCUUUACCCGGGAUGAUAAUGACAGUACCGGGAGAAUAAGCUCCGGCUAACUCCGUGCCAGCCGCCGCCGUAA